UGGGGAAUUUUGGACAAUGGGCGAAAGCCUGAUCCAGCAAUGCCGCGUGUGUGAAGAAGGCCUUCGGGUUGUAAAGCACUUUUGUCCGGAAAGAAAUCCUUGGCUCUAAUACAGUCGGGGGUGACGGUACCGGAAGAAUAAGCACCGGCUAACUACGUGCCAGCAGCCGCGGUAAUACGUAGGGUGCAAGCGUUAAUCGGAAUUACUGGGCGUAAAGCGUGCGCAGGCGGUUUGCUAAGACCGAUGUGAAAUCCCCGGGCUCAACCUGGGAACUGCAUUGGUGACUGGCAGGCUAGAGUAUGGCAGAGGGGGGUAGAAUUCCACGUGUAGCAGUGAAAUGCGUAGAGAUGUGGAGGAAUACCGAUGGCGAAGGCAGCCCCCUGGGCCAAUACUGACGCUCAUGCACGAAAACGUGGGGAGCAAACAGGAUUAGAUACCCUGGUAGUCCACGCCCUAAAACGAUGUCAACUAGUUGUUGGGGAUUCAUUUCCUUAGUAACGUAGCUAACGCGUGAAGUUGACCGCCUGGGGAGUACGGUCGCAGGAUUAAAACUCAAAGGAAUUGACGGGGUCAUAGCUGUUUCCU
rnacentral:rRNA from 1 species